rnacentral:tRNA from 1 species
CAGAGAAUAGUUUAAUUAAAAUAUUAAUUUUGGGGAUUAGUGAUGAAGUUUUCUUUUUCUCUGA